AGAUGGCUUCCUUAAGGGUAGGUUUAGAAAGCUCAGGUUCAGGUUCUGGUUCAGAGGUAUGAGGUGGAGAGUUUUGAGGGCUGAGAUUUAGAGUUUGAGGUUCAGAUUCUGACUCAGGUUGGGGUUCAGAAUCUGCUUCUGGUUGAAGACUGGGGGAUGAAGCAUAAAGUGGGUUUAAAUCUAAAGGUUCGGAUUCUGGUUCUGGGACAGCGGGAAGGAUUGGUGGAAUGAUAUUAGAGGUGAAAGGAGCAGAUGGUUGAAUUAC
rnacentral:lncRNA from 1 species